rnacentral:lncRNA from 1 species
GGGCCUAGCAUGGUAUAGAUGUUCAACCUGUGUUUGUUGACUGACUGAGUGAAUGGAGAAAGAGGGAAAUGCAAAAGAAAGAAGGAAAGGAGGAGGAUGGAUAUGAACUCUGAGACAAUUCUUUGACUGCCUGCAUCUGACAUGGACUUGUAUGGAAAGAAGCAGAUGGGUUUAAGCAAAGUGUUUGCUGCGCAUCAGGAUGUUUGGUGGACAUUCCAUUGUGGAUGGACCCUGGCUUCUUGCCCAACCGCUUAUGUUGGAAAUGCCCACCAGACUGGACCUCCCUGGAGACCAAACGCAGCCCAUCUUGGGAGCUGGCCAGUGCCACAUCCUCCCCCUCUUGCAGGGACCAGCUGAGUCAGUUGCUCCAUCUCGCACCUCUCAACACCUUCCUGUGUGGCACUGGACCACCUGUGGAAGCCCUGGCAUGCCUUGCUACCAUAGCUCGCAGAAGUUAUGGAGAAAAGGAGGCCCACACAGACUGAGAAAACACCAAGGCGAGGGCAUGGCUGGGAUCCCAGCGCAGGAUCCCCGUUCUUCUGCAGUCACAGUCUUGGCUGAACUGAGCCCUUUCCUCCCAGUGUUUGGCUUGGAUGCUAGACCAGGAACGCCAUGCUUAACAGCCUGUGCCAUUGGUCUGCAGGAGUUGGCAAUUCAGCUGCUGUGACUCUGCUGUCCAUCACCGUAACCAUGUUCACCUCGCCUGUGGCAGUGGAGUGCUGCCACUUGGUCCCUGCGCCCUGAGAUCCAUGACUCCCAUUACAUUUAAGUUUCCAAAUUCAGUGACUGCUGUAAGUUCUGCCUACGGAGACGAGGGAUUACAAAGCUCUUUCAAGGUGCU